rnacentral:rRNA from 1 species
UACAGAGGGGGCAAGCGUUAUUCGGAAUUAUUGGGCGUAAAGGGCGCGUAGGCGGCUUGGCAAGUGGAUGGUGAAAUCCCUCGGCUUAACCGAGGAACUGCCGUCCAAACUGCUUCGCUUGAGACCGGGAGAGGUGAGUGGAAUUCCCAGUGUAGCGGUGAAAUGUGUAGAUAUUGGGAGGAACACCAGUGGCGAAGGCGGCUCACUGGACCGGUACUGACGCUGAUGCGCGAAAGCGUGGGGAGCAAACGGG